AUUGAACGCUGGCGGCAGGCUUAAUACAUGCAAGUCGAGCGGAGAUGAGGUGCUUGCACCUUAUCUUAGCGGCGGACGGGUGAGUAAUGCUUAGGAAUCUGCCUAUUAGUGGGGGACAACAUUCCGAAAGGAAUGCUAAUACCGCAUACGUCCUACGGGAGAAAGCAGGGGAUCUUCGGACCUUGCGCUAAUAGAUGAGCCUAAGUCGGAUUAGCUAGUUGGUGGGGUAAAGGCCUACCAAGGCGACGAUCUGUAGCGGGUCUGAGAGGAUGGUCUGCCACACUGGGACUGCGACACGGCCCAGACUCCUACGGGAGGCAGCAGUGGGGAAUAUUGGACAAUGGGAGGAACCCUGAUCCUGCCAUGCCGCGUGUGUGAAGAAGGCCUUAUGGUUGUAAAGCACUUUAAGCGAGGAGGAGGCUACUGAGACUAAUACUCUUGGAUAGUGGACGUUACUCGCAGAAUAAGCACCGGCUAACUCUGUGCCAGCCGCCGCCGUAA
rnacentral:rRNA from 1 species